ACAGGAGGUCCUCCCUAGCACAGCCCCCAGCCCGGCUGGAAAACUCCUAAGUGGUGAGGCUGGCCUAAUUAGUCUGCUUAAUUUUCCCCCAUAAAUCACUUCUCCUUGCCCCCUGCAGACUAUCGGCAGCAUCUGAAGUCAUUAGUUAAUUUAAAUCUGGGAGUUCACACGCUGGCUUAUCAGGAGCUAUCUCUGUUCCCGCUAAGCGCUUGCUCAGUGCCUUCUCUGGCUCCUAGAUCCUAUCUGCGCCUGCUUUGAAGCGAUGAUGGGCUGCCGAGCAGGCGAGGCACGCUGCCUGCUUCCCUGCCUGCUGGCAGGUGGGAGGGGAGAUGGAUCCUGCUUCACCCCCUCCCUGUGCUCCCCUUUUUGAACUUCUCCUCUGACUCAUCCAUUUCAUUUAUGUUUCCACCUUCGUUUCACGCGUAGCAAUUUGCCAGAGCGCUGGAAGGAGAAGGUGGCUCCAGUGAUGCUGCUGCAGCUUCCCCAGCUGCAAGGGGAGAUGCCCGGGUCCCAUGGGUGGGCUGGCAGCCAGGCUGAUGCUCCAUUCUGCUGUGGCUGGAAGACAUGGGCUCCCGAUUAAAGGAUAUUUCAACCAGACGGAGGGGCUGCGUCUGCCGGGGAACGUGCAGCAGGAGGGGACGGAGACAGGACGCGUGAGAGACGAGAGGAGAAAGCAAUUUACGCUGGAAUGUAAAUACGGCAGAGGCACGCUGCGCCGCGGGGCGCGUCGCUCCCUCCUGGCCCUGGGACCAGCGUGAGAGCUUGCCUGCGACAGCUCAGACCUCUUCCGUCCUUGCCACCGCACGGGAGAGCCCACGUUUCGCCUGGGCACUGCGCAGAAGUGAGGAGAAGGAGGAGGGUUAGAGCCUGUUGCAGCAAGCCAGUCCCACCGCUGCUGCUCCUGCUUUCCACAGUGAGGGACCACAGGUCGCAUGUCCACUGGCAGAGGGAUGGAGUCUCAGCCAUCCCCUAAUAAUCCUAAGAAUCAAUAGCAGUGUCUCUAGGCCCCCUGAAUGUGCAGAACAGCUCAGAAUUAAGAGGAGAACUUGUUAGCAGGAUUAACUCUGAAACCUAGUGACAACACUUUAAGUAUCUGUGCUAUCUAUAUCCCUGCUGCUCAUUCUAGCAGCCAGCUCUUCCUGAUGAGCUUUACUUAAAUGCACUAGGUUUGUCCUGUAAGAGCAAUCUCUGUGGAUAAAGAGGUGAGGUUUAAAGAUGUAAAUAUUCUGUGAGAUACACCAAUUUAAAUGUCUUUUGUUGUUCCUUAGCCCGGUGUCCAGGGAUAAGUGUCUAAGGAAGCAAGGAAAGAUCCUCUAGAUUGUGAGACAGACAAACUUUAUUAAAAGAAAAGACCAAAUAAAAUAAAAAUACAAUUAUUUUAUUUUUUUCCUUAAAAAAUACUGAAUUUGUAGAAGUUUCCUUCUGCUCACCCUGGGCAGUGUGAGCCCAGCUGGGGAGCAGGUCAGGUUCAUCUACUCCUCUCCCGUUGCAGAGCAUCGCUGGGGGAAGCCAUGCCCUCGUUGGCAGAUGUCAGAAGCAGCGGCACAAGGUGAACCCCAGCCAGCCCCCUCACUACUCAGGGCAGAGGGUUCGUGGCAGGUGACAAAGAGCCUCAAACAAGUCCCUAGAACACCCAGCUCAGGCUCGCAAUGGGCUCUUCUUCUGCCCCAAGGCUGGACCCCAAUGCAAGGAUCUGAGCUCAACGCAGAUGUUGGGAGAAUUCACACCCCAAGGCAGGUUGGUUUGGGGUUGUUUUUUUUUUUUACUCUUCCACAUGGCUUUUUUUUUUUUUUUUUUUCUUUUUGAGGCAGGAGUAAUAACUGCUAAAGAUGCAUAUGGAAUUUGAAUAUGAAUGAUAAGAACAGCUGUGUAUAUCUAUUAUGAAUGAAUAUAAACAGAAAUGUAUAAACUGAGA